rnacentral:rRNA from 1 species
GACGAACGCUGGCGGCGUGCCUAAUACAUGCAAGUAGAACGCAGUUGCGAACGGGUGAGUAACGCGUAGGUAACUGCCUCAUAGCGGGGGAUAACUAUUGGAAACGAUAGCUAAUACCGCAUACUGUGAGAUGGACCUGCGUUGUAUUAGCUAGUUGGUGAGGUAAAGGCUCACCAAGGCGACGAUACAUAGCCGACCUGAGAGGGGUGUCCGCCAACCUGGGAACGGGAAACGGGCCCGACUUCUACGGGAGGGAGCAGUAGGGAAAUCUUGGGAAAUGACGGAAGUCUGACCCGGCAAAGCCGGGGGAGGGAAGAAGGUUUUCGGAUCGGAAAGCUCCUGUGGUAGAGGAGCGGUAACUAACCAGAAAGGGACGGCUAACUACGUGCCAGCAGCCGCGGUAAUUC